UUUUCAGCACACACACUUAAACGCGCACACACACACUCAGACGUUUGAAGCAUAGCUCUCACUCCUCUGGCUGUUCGGACUGCUUUUUUAUCCCUCACUGCAAACACAAACAGCUGUUAGAGAUAAUUUCCCACAUGUGUCAAUCCUUACCAUUUUUCCUCUCUCUGCCUUCCUCUCCACAGACGUCGCCCGGCCACGCCCACAUCACCACACCUACAUUAGCUUGCCACAAAACAAUAAAACUUGCUACAGUUGUGCUCAAAAGUUUGCAUACCCUGAAAGAAAUUGUGAAAUUUUGGCAUUGAUUUUGAAAAUAUGACUGAUCAUGCAAAAAAACUGUCUUUUAUUUAAGGAUAGUGAUCAUAUGAAGCCAUUUAUCAUCACAUUGUUGUCUGGCUCCUUUUUAAAUCAUAAUGAUAACAGAAAUCACCCAAAUGGCCCUGAUCAAAAGUUUACAUACCCUUGAAUGUUUGGCCUUGUUACAGACACACAAGAUGACACACACAGGUUUAAAUGACAAUUAAAGGUUAAUUUCCCACACCUGUGGCUUUUUAAAUUGCAAUUAGUGUCUGUGUAAAAAUAGUCAUUGAGUUUGUUAGCUCUCACGUGGAUGCACUGAGCAGGCUAGAUACUGAGCCAUGGGGAGCAGAAAAGAACUGUCAAAAGACCUGCAUAACAAGGUAAUGGAAUUUUAUAAAGAUGGAAAAGGAUAUAAAAAGCUAUCCAAAGCAUUGAAAAUGCCAGUCAGUACUGUUCAAUCACUUAUUAAGAAGUGGAAAAUUCGGGGAUCUCUUGAUACCAAGCCAAGGUCAGGUAGACCAAGAAAGAUUUCAGCCACAACUGCCAGAAGAAUUGUUCGGGAUACAAAGAAAAACCCACAGGUAACCUCAGGAGAAAUACAGGCUGCUCUGGAAAAAGAGGGUGUGGUUGUUUCAAGGAGCACAAUACGACGAUACUUGAACAAAAAUGAGCUGCAUGGUCGAGUUGCCGGAAAGAAGCCUUUAGUGCGCCAAUGCCACAAAAAAGCCCGGUUACAAUAUUCCCGACAACACCUUGACACGCCUCACAGCUUCUGGCACACUGUAAUUUGGAGUGACGAGACCAAAAUAGAGCUUUAUGGUCACAACCAUAAGCGCUAUGUUUGGAGAGGGGUCAACAAGGCCUAUAGUGAAAAGAAUACCAUCCCCACUGUGAAGCAUGGUGGUGGCUCACUGAUGUUUUGGGGGUGUGUGAGCUCUAAAGGCACGGGGAGUCUUGUGAAAAUUGAUGGCAAGAUGAAUGCAGCAUGUUAUCAGAAAAUACGUUCAGACAAUUUGCAUUCUUUUGCAUGAAAGCUGCGCAUGGGACGCUCUUGGACUUUCCACGUGACAAUGACCCUUAGCACAAGGCCAAGUUGACCCUCCAGUGUUUACAGCAGAAAAAGGUGAAGGUUCUGGAGUGGCCAUCACAGUCUCCUGACCUUAAUAUCAUCGAGCCACUCUGGGGAGAUCUCACAUGUGCGGUUCAUGCAAGACGACCAAAGACUUUGCGUGACCUGAAUGCAUUUUGCCAAGACAAAUGGGCAGCUAUACCACCUGCAAGAAUUUCGGGCCUCAUAGACAACUAUUACAAAAGACUGCAUGUUGUCAUUGAUGCUAAAGGGGGCAGAACUAAGAAUAGAAUUAAGAACUAAGGGUAUGCAGACUUUUGAACAGGGGUCAUUUCAUUUUUUUUCUUUGUUGCCAUGUUUUGUUUUAUGAUUGUGCCAUUUUGUUAUAACCUAAAGUUGAAUAUGAAUCCCAUAAGAAAUAAAAUAAAUUUGUUUUGCCUGCUCACUCAUGUUUUCUUUAAAAAUGGUACAUAUAUUACCAGUUCUCCAAGAGUAUGCAAACUUUUGAGCAUAUGUUUGUGAGAGUGUACUGUAUGUUCUCAAUCCACAGAACUCCUGACUCCUGGACGAUUUGAGCUUUCAUCUGUGUAUCCAUUACAAGAGAUGGGAAAGUGAGAGGGUUAUCUCUUUCAUUCCCCAGAUGGAAACUUUCAAUUAAUGUCAUAUCACAUCAGUGCACAGAAGUGGGGUAUUAAAAGUAUAACCACCAAAACAAUAGGUUGAAUGCUAUCAAAACCUCUUUUUGCAGCCUCGUAGAAAUCCCAGUAUAUGUGAAACAGAACAUCAGUUUCUUUGAGACUGGAUCUUCAGGAAGACUCACUCACCUUCAUGUCCUUCCAAACCUGUAUGACUCUCUUCCGCAAUGAAAGUGGAUUGGAACCUGGGGUGGUCAAGCUCCUAAAAGGACACAAUAAGCACCUUAAAAAUAUCAUUAAAGUAGUCCAAACGACUUGCGCAUUAUAUACCAAGUCUUCUAAAGCCGUGAUAGUUUUGUGAGAGGAACAGACUGAAAGUCAUUAUUCACUGAAAUUCUUGCCAUGAAAAUCUUGAUUGAAAGCUUUGAUCAACAUUAACUGACAUUGUAUGGAAAAGAGCAUCUUUGACAUUCUGCUAUAAAUAACUUGAAAGACAUGAGGAUUUUGGUGUGGGACAUCGGGAAACUUAACCAUCAGAAGCUUCCUAAUCUGAAAGGAAGUCUCAGUGUGCAGUCUGGAGCUCUUAAACCAGAGAACCAAAGCCUGAACAUUGACCUUAAAAUCCAACAACUAGCCAUCUCAGGAUUGAAAGUGAAUCGACUUGAUAUGUACGGAGAGAAAUAUAAACCAUUCAAGGGUGUGAAAUAUGUGACCAAAGCUGGGAAAUUCCAGGUCAGAACAUGAGGCUGGCUACAGAUGUUACAGAGGAUGAUAUGCCAAAAAAUGUAUUAGAGGUGCCUUUUUCUAAGUGACAUCAUACAGGAUUGCAGCCUUGCACACAAUCUCCCUUAUUUUUAAAACAUUAAAGUUACGUUUGUCAUCAUACUAUUUAUCUUUGUUUUGGGGGAAGAAACUGGGAAUUUGCAAGAAGUGAAAGUCUUUCCAUUGGAGAGUAUUUCUUUUGGGAAUCUUUAUCUUCAGAUAAAUAACAUUCCAUUGUUGUAUUAAAACUGUGUAAUGUUACAUUUAAGUUUAACACUUUACAAUAAGGUACACACGUUGUAUUCAUUUGUUAACUUAAUAGUUAUUAAAAAAUUAACUAACAAUGAACAAUGCUUUUACAGCAAUUAAUGUUAAUUUCUAAAAAUACACAAACAUAUAAUUGAAAGUUGUGCUAACAUUUGUUAAUGCAUAAUGAACUAACAUGAAAUAAAAAUGUAUAUUUACAUACAAUAAUAUAUUUAUAAAUCAAAAUGUGCUGUAAAAAUUCUUGUUCAUUGUAAUUCAUGACAUCUAUUGCAUUAACUAAUGUUAAUGAAUAGAACAUUCUUGUAAAGUGCUGUUGAUGUAAUUCAUAUUACAUCUCUGAAAGAAACACUGAUUUAGCCAUUAUAAAGGUAUUUUUUACCAGUGGCAAAUUUUAGCAGAGAAAACAUUUGUUAUAGUCAGUGGAAUAUGAGAAUGAGUAUUACAAGACUUGGGUUUCAUAUUAAUUGAAGUACUUUAUGUUAGAUUACAUCAUUUCUUUUUCUACAAUCUUUAAUAAUGGUACAAACUCAUACUUGAGAAUAUCUGCACACAGACAAACAUAUCUUUUUUCAUUGAAUCAUUUGUCAUUAAAUUUCUUUUGUGUUCAGUGGCCUUUCAGUGGGAAAAAUAAUUUUAAGAGGCCUCAACACAAAUGGCCUUUAAAUACACAACCAUGCAUAGAAUAACAACCUUCUGAUCUUCUACACAAGCAUAUCACAGCUCUGAGAUCACCAGCAGUUGUAUUCUGUCUCAAAAGGAACCUCUUCUCAACACUUACAAUCAGGAGAUGACACCUCUCAUUUGUGAACAAGAAAUUGCUUAGUAAUAACUACACAUUAGUUUGCCAUGUACAAGCAUUACGGAGCUAUGAUUAGCACAAAUGAUUGACAUGAUAGAUAAUACGCAUGUACGCCACCUUUAAAGCUUUCCACAGAAUUUGCACCCACAAAGGACACACAAUUAUUUUAUUAAAUGUAAAUCAAGGGAACUGCUUAAUUGCAUUUAAAGAUAUGUAUUUAAACCCAAAGCCUUCAGAUUUAUAACAUUUGCAACAAAAUGAUGUCUCUGUGUGCUUGUUUCCAGCUCUGACAAAUGGCUGUUCAUUACGAUAUGAUUAUAAUGAAUUCACUUGAAUACACCUUAAAGUUUCAUGAGUAGCACAGAAUAAAUGUCUUGGAAGUUACCAUAAAAAGAGUCCUUUAUUCACUUAAGAUUUUUUAUACUAACUAACUUUCCAGACAUGCAGUGUAAUCUAUUACUCAUUAUCUAGUAACUGAAACCUGAAGUGCAGUAUCUUUUAUAAAUGAGACUGCAGCUUGUCCCUUUGUUCAAAUGAAAAUCUUACAGAACUGUUUUAUUAUGGGGCACAUAUGUUGUUCUUUAUGUGACAUUGAUGGAAAAAAGUCUUGUCAUAUACAGUUGUGCUCAAAAGUUUGCAUACCCUGGCAGAAAUUGUGAAAUUUUGGCAUUGAUUUUGAAAAUAUGACUGAUCAUGCAAAAAAACGGUCUUUUAUUUAAGGAUAGUGAUCAUAUGAAGCCAUUUAUUAUCGCAUAGUUGUUUGGCUCCUUUUUAAAUCAUAAUGGUAACAGACAUCACCCAAAUGGCCCUGAUCAAAAGUUUACAUACCCUUGAAUGUUUGGCCUUGUAACAGACACACAAUGUGACACAGGUUUAAAUGGCAAUUAAAGGUUAAUUUACCACACCUGUGGCUUUUUAAAUUGAAAAUCACAACUGUAUACAUUCACAAAACAAUAUUUUCACCCUUUCUAAUGUCACCAUAACCCAAAACAUGCUAUUACACAUAAAAUGCAGCCCUGUAAAUUUCACAAUGAGGCACUAUAUCGGGGCUGAAAAAGGUACUCUUCCCAAUGGAUAUGUUACAGAAAGAGUUUUUUAAGUGAAUGCAAUGCAGUGCAUCUUCUGAUAAAUUGUUAGCUGUACAGAAAGUUCAGCUUAACAUUGUUCCUCUUCAGCAUUGUGCUGUAAAUUCCAUAAAUACGAAUCUAUGUUACUACCUAAGGUAAAAGUUAUGCUUGCAGUCCUUAUAUCCAAACAGUGGUAUCACAUACAAACAAGCCACCUGGGUCUUGUGUAGUAGUUAUCCAUUUUAUCUAAAUGGAAGAUACAUUACUGUGCAAAAGUCUUAAACACAUAAGAUGUUUCACAUAAACAUUUGUCUCAAGAUGGUUAUUUAUAUCUGCUACUUUAGUGUGUCAAUAGGAAAUAUACAUUUUAUACUCCCAAACAUUCCUUUUGCAAAUAGAAUAGAAGAACAGGGAGCACUGCAACAGAUGGCAUGGCCCCCACAAAGCCCCCCACUGAACAUCGAGUCAGUCUGGGAUUACACGAAGAGACAGAAGUAAUUGAGACUAAAUAAAAAAAGAAAUGUGGCGAAUUCUCCAAGAAGCUUGGAGCAUCAUGUCUGCCAACAACCAAGAUAAACUGUGUCCAGGUGUACCUAGGAGAAUUGGUGCUGUUUUGAAGGCAAAAGUGUUCACACCAAAUAUUGAUUUAGCUCUUUUUCUGUUUACUGGACUUUGUAUGACUUUAAUUGAUUAAUGAAAACUAUUUGUCAUUAUUUUCUUAAGAAAUCCUCACUUUGAAAGUUUUUCCACAAGUGCCUAAAACUUUUGCACAGUACUGUACAUUAAGACAGGUCCUUCAUCAAUAUAUUUCUAUUGAAAUACAAACAGAAACACACUAAAAGUUAAGUCAAAAUUGUGUUUAUAAAUUGUUUUAACUGUAAAUAGACUGGCUUUGAUGUUCACUUUAGCCAGGUACCAGAGAAAAACAGUUCAACUGUUGUGAUGAUUGUGUUUCUCUUUUUGAAAGGGUAUGAGAAAUCUCAUUCACAUCCACUCUCACACAAGUUUAACAAAAAGAAAGAAAAAAUGACAAUUGUAUUAAGAAAGAAUGACAUGUCUACUUACAUUUACAUUAAAGUACCGUUUAUAUAAUAGCUAAUGAAUAUUAAUUUCACAUGUAAAUGUAAAAAAAAAAAAAAAAAAAACAAUCUUUGGCAUCAAUCAUGCAAGAUACUUCUCUGUAAUGUCUCUGUAGUUGCAUGACCUAUACAAAAAAAUUAAAAGGCAUCAUCCCAUGUAAUAAAUAGCUAAGCAAAGUUCAUUAUAAAUAUGAACUAUAAGAACAGUUAAUUAUAGCGAAUUAUAACUUAAUCAAUAAAACCUAAAAGUCAUUGUACUUAAAGGGAUAAUUCACCCCAAAAUGAAAAUUCUCUCAUUAUUUACGCAUGCCAUCCCAGAUGUGUGUGACUUUCAUUCUUCUGCAGAACAAAAAUGAAGAUAUUUAGAAGAAUACCUGUACAUCCAUACUCUGUACAUCCAUACAAUGCAAGUGAAUGGUGACCAACACUUUGAAGCUUCAAAAAAAGAAAAAAAAAAUGCAGCAUAAAAGUAAUCCAUACAACUCCAGCAGUUUAGUCCAUGUCUUCUGAAGUAAUCCAGUCAGUUUUGGGUGAGAACAGACCAAAAUAUAACUCCUUUUUCACUACAAAUCUUGACAUCAGCAGUCUCCUUGUCAACCAUGAUUCCAAGCUCAAUUACCCUUCCUAUGGCACCAUCAAGUGCUCUGUGCAUGUGUCAAGCACUAGGAAAUGUAAUCAAGCUUGAAAUCAUGAUCGUGCUUAAAGACUGCAAUGGCAAUAUGUACAGUGAAAAAGGAGUUAUAAUUUGGUCUUUUCUCACCCAAAACUAGAUCUAAAUUAGAUUUAGUCACUAUUCACAUGCAUUGUAUAGACCUACAGAGCUGAGAUAUUCUUCUAAAAAUCUUGGUUUGUGUUCUGAAAAAGAAAGACAGACAUCUGGGAUGGCAUGAGGGUGAGUAAAUGGUGAGAGAAUUUUCAUUUUUGGGUGAACUAUACUUUGAAUGUAUAUUUGCGACUAAAACAUGAUCUGUGAUAAGGAUCUGGUUAAUUCAGACAGCAUUAAGAAAUAUAAAUAUAUACAUUUUUAAUAAUAAAUGUAACUGUCAAAAACUAAAUUAAAAGUAAAUUUCGUCAUGAACUCCAACAUUGUUUGACAGGCAUUUACGUCAUCAUGCCACAUUUCUCCAAUACAAAAUAGAAAACUUCUUCAUGCAAAAAAAAUAUAUAUAUAUACCUGGAAUUUGGAAACCCAACAUACCAAAAAUAUAUAUCUAAAAAUGUAAACCACCAUAGUGUAAGAUGAAGUUACCUAUAGCAAACUUUCAGGACAAAAAUAGCCUCCAAAGUAAUCAGCAAACUAAGUACCCAUACCAGUAAGUAAAAAAAAAAUUAUUAAUACCAGUCGCCCCUAAACUAGAUCUGAACAGUGAUGUCCAAAAGUUUAAGGAUCAGACAGAGUCCUUUCUUUCUCCUUGCCACCCCUUAUCAGACAUCUGAAAA